GAUGAACGCUGGCGGCGUGCCUAAUACAUGCAAGUCGAGCGAACGGACGAGAAGCUUGCUUCUCUGAUGUUAGCGGCGGACGGGUGAGUAACACGUGGAUAACCUACCUAUAAGACUGGGAUAACUUCGGGAAACCGGAGCUAAUACCGGAUAAUAUUUUGAACCGCAUGGUUCAAAAGUGAAAGACGGUCUUGCUGUCACUUAUAGAUGGAUCCGCGCUGCAUUAGCUAGUUGGUAAGGUAACGGCUUACCAAGGCAACGAUGCAUAGCCGACCUGAGAGGGUGAUCGGCCACACUGGAACUGAGACACGGUCCAGACUCCUACGGGAGGCAGCAGUAGGGAAUCUUCCGCAAUGGGCGAAAGCCUGACGGAGCAACGCCGCGUGAGUGAUGAAGGUCUUCGGAUCGUAAAACUCUGUUAUUAGGGAAGAACAGAUGUGUAAGUAACUGUGCACAUCUUGACGGUACCUAAUCAGAAAGCCACGGCUAACUACGUG
rnacentral:rRNA from 1 species